CCUCAUCAAGAGCGGCGGAGGGACAGGCCCGAUGAAGUCGCGGCAACCAUUGGAGAUUUUCCAAACGGUGCCAAUUCCUUUAGGCAUGACCUAGAAGAUGAGA
rnacentral:ncRNA from 1 species